CCCCUUCGGGGGCAGAAUGACAGGUGGUGCAUGGUUGUCGUCAGCUCGUGUCGUGAGAUGUUGGGUUAAGUCCCGCAACGAGCGCAACCCUUGUCUUUAGUUGCCAGCAUUAAGUUGGGCACUCUAGAGAGACUGCCGGUGAUAAACCGGAGGAAGGUGGGGAUGACGUCAAAUCAUCAUGCCCCUUAUGUCCUGGGCUACACACGUGCUACAAUGGACGGUACAACGAGUUGCGAAACCGCAAGGUCAAGCUAAUCUCUUAAAGCCGUUCUCAGUUCGGAUUGCAGGCUGCAACUCGCCUGCAUGAAGUUGGAAUCGCUAGUAAUCGUGGAUCAGCAUGCCACGGUGAAUACGUUCCCGGGUCUUGUACACACCGCCCGUCACACCAUGAGAGUUUGUAACACCCAAAGUCGGUUGGAUAACCUUUACGGAGUCCGCCGCCUAAGGUGGGACAGAUGAUUAGGGUGAAGUCGUAACAAGGUAGCCGUAGGAGAACCUGCGGCUGGAUCACCUCCUUU
rnacentral:ncRNA from 1 species